rnacentral:lncRNA from 1 species
CUGACGUCACUGGUGAAUACAGCGUGAGCGCGCAUUUUCUAAUGGCUGCUGAUCACUAUUGCAGAAAGAUCAAAGCAAGGCCAACCAGGAUGAGAUGAAAAUGUGUAUCAAGAGUUCAACCAGAUAGUGUGGAAGAAUCUUAAGCAAGAAUUAUAUUGGUCUCUUGAUCAUCACUGCCCACAGCUGAUUCAGAUCUUCAGGUCAAAGAGAGGAUUCACUGGACAGAUUUUUAUCUUCUACAAAAUAUCAAGGCGUCUGACCUCACUGACAUGCCAUGUGUUGCCAUUUGAGUGCUUCCAGUAGUUGUUGGUGAUGACCCAACAGUUCUUCAAAGCAUGUUUUAUGAUGGAGACUCAAAUCAACAUGUGCCCGUUGGAAUUCUUAACCAAGAAAAUUAAGAUGUGGCUCUGCAACCCCUGUCCUUCCACCUCCACCCAUUCUCUGGGAAUCAUCUUGGAGGGAAAUGUUGUAAUGGACAAUAUAGACAAUAUACCCCAGGCCAAGUGUCUUUUUGGAUCAACCUAUGCACUGCACCUAGGCUACACAAAAUGCAUGGACAAUACCCUUCUUUUUAUUCAACAAGUUUGGGUAAGAAGAUGCUGAAGGGUAACAUUCUGGCUGUUAAAAAUCAACUUGUCAUGUAAACUGGUACAGAAAAGGCAUGUUCCUUCAGGCUUGCUGUCCUAACUGUGAGAUAAAAAAAAUUAAAACUAUGCUUUAGUGUUUGGCAAGUGUAAAUAUUCCAUAAUGUUAAAAUGUAAUAACAUCCUGUGGUUGUUUAUUUUUUAGAUAUGUUUGUAAAAAUGUAUUUAAAAAU